rnacentral:rRNA from 1 species
UACAGAGGGUGCAAGCGUUGUUCGGAAUCAUUGGGCGUAAAGCGCACGUAGGCGGCCUGCUAAGUCGGAUGUGAAAGCCCAGGCUCAACCCUGGAAGUACAUUCGAAACUGGCGGGCUUGAAUGCCGGAGAGGGCAGUGGAAUUCCGAGUGUAGAGGUGAAAUUCGUAGAUAUUCGGAGGAACACCAGUGGCGAAGGCGACUGCCUGGACGAACAUUGACGCUGAGG